AUUGAACGCUGGCGGAAUGCUUUACACAUGCAAGUCGAGCGGCAGCGCGGGGGCAACCCUGGCGGCGAGCGGCGAACGGGUGAGUAAUACAUCGGAACGUGUCCUUAAGUGGGGGUAGCUCGGCGAAAGCCGGAUUAAUACCGCAUAAGCUCUGAGGAGGAAAGCGGGGGCUCCGUAAGGACCUCGCGCUGUUGGAGCGGCCGAUGUCGGAUUAGCUAGUUGGUGGGGUAAAGGCCCACAAGGCGACGAUCCGUAGCUGGUCUGAGAGGAUGAUCAGCCACACUGGAACUGAGACACGGUCCAGACUCCUACGGGAGG
rnacentral:rRNA from 1 species